GACGAGGGGUCCUAGCGUUGUUCGGAAUUAUUGGGCGUAAAGCGCAUGUAGGCGGCUAUUUAAGUCAGGUGUGAAAUCCCCGGGCUCAACCCGGGAAGUGCAUCUGAUACUGGAUAGCUUGAGUACUGGAGAGGGUAGUGGAAUUCCUGGUGUAGUGGUGAAAUACGUAGAUAUCAGGAGGAACACCUGUGGCGAAGGCGGCUACCUGGCCAUGUACUGACGCUGAGAUGCGAAAGCGUGGGGAGCAAACAGG
rnacentral:rRNA from 1 species